GCGGGUUCCCUGGCCAUGCCCAGCGGGCCGAGGGAAAGGCUCCGACGGGGCUGCCCGGGUCCUGGCGCACGUCUGCGGACCGACCCUGGGCAUGAAAAGGUCACAGCCGCCAGGGCUGCGUCUCCGACGGUGGCCACCCUAGGUGUGCCGAUCCCGAGAAGCCGGGACCCCGGGUAACCGGCUGCUCAGCGAAGCCUGCCCCCUCCUCGAGUCCGACGGCAGGGCUUCCCGGUCCUGGGAACCCUGUCUGGGCGCUGCUGACCCAUCUCUCUUGUCGGAUGUCAGAGGGGCUAAUGUGGUUUCCAAAACUGGGAGAGAGGACGAAAGGAAGAGCCUGCGCUCUGUACUUGCUUCAAGGAGACGCAAGAAUCAGAGAACUGGCCCCCGCCCAAGACUGUAAGUGAUGGUCCAAGGAUGGGGUGUACCUGUGGGAACUUUGUGUUGCCUGAAGAGGACCCUGGUUUCAGGACUGGGGUCACACAGUACAGGUGCCCUGGCUGAUGGGCGCAGCCUCACCAGGAACUGCCAAGGUGGUCAUACCCCAAGAGGCCUUCAGGUGUGGUUGGUAGCGAAGGAGGGGCCUCUUUGCCUCAGGUGGAACAGCUUUGCAGUGGCAGUCAUGCUCUGUGGCUGCCCGUGGGAUCAGGCUGAGUUUUCUCUGUCCUCCAGAAAUCUUUAUGAGUAGCUGCUCAAAAGGAUGGGAAGCACUUGGCGUAAUAGUCCUAAGAAAAUCAUCCUGUCUCAACCAGAGCUUGAUCUUCUGCCUGCUGCUCUCAGGCUUGAUCAUGAGACUUGCUUUGGCCAACAACCUGCGAGUGGAGGUGAUAUUUGCUGUUUCUGGGCAGAAGCUCUAAGAGCUAGCCCAUAGUUCUCCACGUCCUCUCCCUGAAUCUGUCUUUGUUAGGAUGUCAGCUUGGGUUCUCAGUGAUUCAAAGCUGGUUGUUGACCCAGGAUGGAUGUGCACGAUUUUUAUUGUAUUCUUGCACAGAGAGUACAAGAGCAAUAUCAAGAAACACACAGCUCUAAGAUUCAUAAGUUGAACUCCAGCCCCCAGCCUGGCCGCGUUUGGAGAUGGGAAUUCUUAGGAAGUUAAGUGAGCUCUAAGGGUGGGGUCCCCGCCUCAUAGGAAUAGUGUCUUCUACGAGGAGACACCAGAGGGCGCUCUCGAUGCUCCCACUCCGAGGAAAGGCCAGGGGAGGACCCAGCGAGAAGGUGACCGGCGGCCUGCAAGGGGAAAGAGCCCUCAUCAGGAAUUGCAUCAGCCAGCACCUUGAUCUUGGACUUCUAGCCUUCAGAACUAUGAGGAAAUGAAUUUCUGCUGUUUAUGUCACUCGAUCUACAGUAUUCUGUCAUAACAGCCCAAAAUGCAAUUCAUACAAAAGGAAGUAUUUCAGAGAAGACUAUCAUGACUUUUUUUUGGCCAAGCCUGUGGAAGUUCCUUGGCCAGCAGUAGCCCUGUGAUCAGUGACAAAGCCAAGUCCUUAACCUCUAGGGCACCAGGGUUUAUGGUGAAACUGGAGCAGUGAAUUCUGGUGGAAUUACUUGGGAAUACAGGCAUAUGCAUGACAGUCUGGGGAAGCCAUGUUUGUGUUGUUCGAGGUGAAGAAUUAUCAUCAAUAUGCUGCUUACAUCAUAGGCUGUCCAGUGAAGAUGAAGUUUCCAACAAGGGCCUAGAAGCUCAUGAGCAUAAAGUGCUGGUGCCCUCUCAGGAAGGCUGUGAGCUGGAAGUCACUGCCAGAGAUCGAAUCCACAACCUCAUGGUUCCUAGUCAAAUUCAUUUCUGCUGCGCCAUGACCGGAACUCCGGAUUCUGUGUUUUUAAUGAAUGCACCUGAGGAAUUUUUAUGAUGGUAAGUUUGGUAAACACUGCUUUAGUCCCGCCCAGGUUGGGAUCAGAAUUCUCUUACCCAAAAGGCUGGGCAAGAUUGAGAAGCAGGGCUUCUGGUUUCAGAGGGACAUACAAGCAGUCUGUUAGGAGGCAUCCUGGAGCUAGGAUGCUGUCUGGGGGAGCGGGCUGCCACUUCCUGGGUGCUGGAUUUAGAGGACUGAGGUGUUCACAGUGAGGCUCCGGUGCUCAUGGGAACCGAGGUGACCCUGAGGGAGAGAAUGGCAGUCACGCAUCCCAGCCACAGGUGAGGGCUCUUGACGCAAACGGAAGAUUUAGGCUGGGUAGGAUUCCUAUCUCAUGGCCCAGGGAGGCUGUGGGGAAAGGCCGCUCACUCGUGGGUCAACAGCAGGGGGCGUCUCUCCUGAAAAGGAUCUUGUUCUUGGAUGGUAACCACUGGGGUGAACGGACGGUCCUUAGGAAACCAGAGCUCACCACGGAGACUAGACAGGCAGCGAGGUAACCAGUGUGUUUCAAGCCUUUCUCGUUGGGGUCCAGAUGCGAAAGGAGCUGGUGUCCUUGAAGUUCACGGUCUUGAGUUCAUCAGGGUGGCGGUGGGUGUGCCCUGGGAUAGCUGUCCCUAAGAAGAAGGGAGGACCUGAGCCGGGUGGCGCCGAGGAGCCCCUUCCCGAGGAGCCCCUUCCCACCCGGGAGCCCGCCGCCCUGGAGGGUGCCCUUGGGGUGGAUCUUCCUCAGGUGAGACCAGAGCAGGCAGGUCGAGGUGGGCGUGAGAUGUAAGGGAAUGAUUGGUUGUUUGAUCGGCCCAGAGUGGGACUUAUUGGACCGAGAGGUAAUGCUUUUGGCUCUGAUGGUUCCUAGAAACGGAAUGUUUGUGGCCCCACCGGCCCCCUAUUCAUAGUUUGAAACCUAAUCCCCAAUGUGAAGGUGUUUGGAGGCCCUGGGAGGCGAUUAGGGCAUCAGGGUGGGGCCGAUGCGGAUGGAUUCGUGCCCUUGUAAGCGGAGGAAGAGUCGGAGUUCUCCCAUCGCUGCCUGAGGACGAGGCAAGAACACGGGCUCUGGGAACAGUGAGCUGGCCCUCACCAGACUCAGAAUCUGCUUGAUCCUGGACUUUCCAGCCUCUAGGACUGUGAGAAAUAAAUGUCUGCUGUUUAUAA
rnacentral:lncRNA from 1 species